CCAAACGACUCUUGGCAAUGGAUGUCUUGGCUCUCGCAUCGAUGAAGAACGAAGCGAAAUGCGAUACUUGGUGUGAAUUGCAAAAUCCCAUGAACCAUUGAGUCUUUGAACACAAGUUGCGCCUGAAGCCAUCAGGCUGGGGGCACGUUUGCCUAGGCGUCACGU
rnacentral:rRNA from 1 species